GUGCAGUACAAGAAGAUAUUUUGAGGGAAGAAGAGGGACACACAAACUGUGUCAACAAUGGCAGUCUGGGCACAACCACUUCAGCCUUGCAAGUAACAAAGCUGGAGAGAGCUCCAAGAUCAACCUAGCUGCAAACCUUGGGAAUCUGGCUUCCAUCAGGCCCAAGGCGCUAAGAACCGGUGACAGAGUGACAUCAUGA